rnacentral:misc_RNA from 1 species
GAGGGCUUACGUGUUGCAA